rnacentral:lncRNA from 1 species
UGGAGGGAUUUUUAUUUUCUCCUAAAGGCAAAAGGGAGCUCUGCAGGUUCUUGAAUGGAGGAGUAACAUAGACUUGUGUGUUUAAGAAGGUUAUUUUGGAGGGAAAGAGCAGCCGAAGUGGGAUCUGAACUCACAUGUUUGGGUUACAAAUCCAAUGCUGGUUUCACUGUGCCAGGAGAAUUUAGCCAAGUUUUGGAGUCUUGCCUUCUUGCAAAAGGUAUCCUUCCUGCCCAUAACGUUUUGGCGCCCAGAAGAAAGAGGCAAACCCCAGGGGUACACAUUGAUCCCUAUAAGAUUUUGACACCCAACGUUUUUGGCUCUCCUGAAAGCUACUCCUGUACUCCGGAUCAUCCACAAGGACACAGCUUCUCAGUAAGCUCAAGGGAGGACCAUCGUAAAGAUUUCAUUAAAGGUUUCUGAAGAUAUUUCAGCAAAUCAUGGUUAUGAGUUAUGAGUUCGUAUAUAUGGAUGGAUACCAGAAGUUGGAAGAAUGAAAAAGAAUAUAUUUAAUAAUGAUCACUGUAACAUUCUUCAAGGCAUGAGUCC